UAGUUUGAUCCUGGCUCAGAAUCAACGCUGGCGGCGUGCCUAACACAUGCAAGUCGAACGCGAAAGUGGAGCAAUCCAUGAGUAGAGUGGCAAACGGGUGAGUAACGCGUGGGCGACCUACCUUCGAGCGGGGGAUAACCUUCCGAAAGGAGGGCUAAUACCGCAUGACAUCCCGUGUUUAGAUACACGGAGAUCAAAGCCGGGGAUCGUAAGACCUGGCACUUGAAGAGGGGCCCGCGUCCGAUUAGCUAGUUGGUGAGGUAACGGCUCACCAAGGCUCCGAUCGGUAUCCGGCCUGAGAGGGCGGACGGACACACUGGAACUGAGACACGGUCCAGACUCCUACGGGAGGCAGCAGUGGGGAAUUGUUCACAAUGGGCGCAAGCCUGAUGACGCAACGCCGCGUGGAGGAUGAAGACCUUCGGGUCGUAAACUCCUUUCGACCGAGAUGAAUUCCUUGCGACCUAACACGUCGCGAGGGUGACAGUAUCGAGGGAAGAAGCCCCGGCUAACUCUGUGCCAGCAGCCCCGGUCAA
rnacentral:rRNA from 1 species